rnacentral:tRNA from 1 species
GAGGCUUUAGCUUAAUGAAAGUAUCUGUUUUGCAUACAGAAGAUAUGGGGUAAAGUCCCGUAAGUCUUA